AUUGAACGCUGGCGGCAGGCCUAACACAUGCAAGUCGAACGAGCGGCGGACGGGUGAGUAAUACCUGGGAAUUGCCAAGUCGAAGGGGAUGACAGUUGGAACCGACUGCUAAUACCGCAUACGAUUGGAGUGGCCGGGGGGGAUUAGCUAGUUGGUGAGGUAAUGGCUCACCAAGGCGACGAUCCCUAGCUGGUCUGAGAGGAUGAUCAUCCACACUGGAACUGAGACACGGUCCAGACUCCUACGGGAGGCAGCAGUGGGGAAUAUUGGACAAUGGGCGAAAGCCUGAUCCAGCAAUGCCGCGUGUGUGAAGAAGGCCUUCGGGUUGUAAAGCACUUUCAGUGGGGAGGCGUUACUCGCAGAAGAAGCACCGGCUAACUCCGUGCCAGCAGCCGCGGUAAUAC
rnacentral:rRNA from 1 species